ACGGCGACGCUGAGGCCUUGCCCCAUGAGGCUCUUGCUCGAGUGAUGCUCAUUCAGUAUCUGUACCGCUGCAGCUUGUGAAAGCAAGGAGACCCAACUCAGGGUCCAAUUUGUUACACUACCCAAUUAUCAAAAUCAAGCCAAAUCCCACUCUACCGCGGUACAAACACACGCCAUCCAUCCCGAGUCUGACAAUCAAUCUCACACGC
rnacentral:lncRNA from 1 species